rnacentral:lncRNA from 1 species
GAUGGAGCGGUCCAGUUUUUACAGCACUUGUUUUGGUACUGCCCAUAUGCUUUUUUUAUUUAUUUGAUAAGUCAUAGUUAAUCGAUCAAUAAUAUAAUACUAUUAACAAAGCUGUUCAUCUUUUUAAUUUACAUUCUGUAGAAACUAUGAACAUUUAAAUGUUCCGAACUUUUGUGAAACAGCACAGUGGAAAAAUAUAGGGGAGAUAGAUGGAGGGGUUGAGGGCAGCUAGAAAUGAACUGGAUGGUGUUCAGAGAUAGAUGGAGGGAUGGGAGCUGAAGGAUGUGACUAAAAACAACAAGAUAACUAAUGUAAAAUACACUGUCUGAAAUGUUUAGUAGAAAGUGGAAGCCUAAGUAGUAUUGUUCAUUAGUUUACAAUUAGGAGAGGGGUGGUACAGUUAGGGGACAAUAAUAAAGAAGGAAGAUGGAUAUUUUAUACAUUUAUCUAUGAAAUUUAUGCAGAAAAUAAUUUGAUCCACCUGCAAAAAAAAAUAAUCCAAAUCAGACCUUUUUGAAGUCAGAAUAUACAAUCAAACACACCACACACACAAUGGCUUCUGGGCUCUGCUCUUCGGGAUGAUGGCGACAUGGGGUUGGAGGCAGGAAGUGAUGGAAUGAUGUCAUCAGUCCCUAAGGACGUUGGCUAAUGGAGGGAGGAAAGUUGGCCCAUUUUUAUUCUCCUCGUCCUAGUUGUGUUCACUCGUUCCCCGUCCUCCCUCAUCCCCGAUUCAGUUCUCUUACAUUUCACUCUGCUGCUCUGUAGAUGGAUAAGGAGAGAGGUUAACUAUCAGAGUGGGGUUAGAGAGAAAGGCUUGCAGAGUGUUCUCUCCUGCCCUGGCUCUGUAGAGGAGUAAGGAGAGAGGUUAACUAUCAGAGUGGGGUUAGAGAGAAAGGCUUGCAGAGUGUUCUCUCCUGCCCUGGCUCUGUAGAGGAGUAAGGAGAGAGGUUAACUAUCAGAGUGGGGUUAGAGAGAAAGGCUUGCAGAGUGUUCUCUCCUGCCCUGGCUCUGUAGAGGAGUAAGGAGAGAGGUUAACUAUCAGAGUGGGGUUAGAGAGAAAGGCUUGCAGAGUGUUCUCUCCUGCCCUCUGUUUCACUGGCUGCGAUGCAGCUCGUGGAUGUGUUCCACUCUAUUGUUCUGCUCUGGCUCAGUGAAUUACAGAUUGUCCCAAAUGG